CUCUCCCUCUCUUCUCCUCUCUUCUCUCUCUCUCUCUCCUCUCCCUCUCCUCUCUCCUCUCCCUCUCUUCUCUUCUCUUCUCUCUCUCUCUCUCUCUCUCUCUUUCUCUCUCUCUCCCUCCCUCUGCCAUUUCACUUUCUGUCUCUCGUUUCUCUUUCCGACUUUGCCUCUGUCCUUAGUGCGUUCCUCUCUCUCUCUCUCUCUCUCUCUCUCUCUCUCCAUUGUUCCCUUUCUUCUCUCCUCCCUCCAUCUUGGCACCAGACAGCUGCUGCGACCCAGAAGCAGUGAUGCUGAUGCCGUUGCCAUGGGGACGACCCCAUUGAGGGGGUCAUCAUCAACUGCUGCGGCUUGACUGGAGGAUAACAACAAAACGACAAUUUUUUAAUUUUUCCUUUUUCUCUCUCAAUAUGCUGUAGCAUAGAGAAGAAUUGAGACGCUGCAAAGGACUCUGGGAUAGCACAUGGGUCCUAGGAGAACUGAGGUGUCUGAGUCGCUUAUCUUGGAUAAGGAAGACGAAGAUGAUAAUGAUGAUGAUGAUGAUGAUGAUGAUGGUUAUGAACUCUCUUCAGCACACCAAACUUUCGAGGGCGAUCGCUAACGCUAAAGACUCACGCUCAUGACUCACGCUAAUGACUCACGCUAAAGACUCACGCUAAAGCCUUCCUCCUUUUCUUUUGCCUGGAACUCACAGAAGCUAUAUUUUUCAUCAGCAAUUGAUUAGCUGAGCAGUGAUUACUUGCUUUGCUUGUUUUAUUGAUUUAUUUGAUUGAUUUGUUUGAUUGAUUGAUUGAUUGAUGAGGAGUUUGUAAAACAUGGCCACUACACUCCACAGUCAGCCGUCCCUUGGGUGUGUGUGUGUGUCUGGGUGUGGGUGUGUGUGUCUGUGUGUGUGUGUCUGUGUAUAUAGGUUGGGAGUGUAUAGGAGGCUAGAACCUUUAUAAUCCAGGAUGAGUUCCUCCUGCGUCAAUUUGCUGUGUAUGUGUGUGCGGCAGCAAAGCUUAUAUCUGUGUCAACCCAGAGAUCUCCAGGUCUACGCUCCUGUUCUAGGUUCCAUAUGGUUCUGAACCAGCCAUCUUGUUCUCCUGUUCUAAGUUCCAUAUGGUUCUGAACCAUGCUGUGCUCUUGUUCUGGGUUCCAUAUGGUUCCGGAUCCCGUAAAAGGUUCCGGGUGAGAUCAGUUGUCUGGUGGCAGCUGCGCUGUGUCCGAUAGGCCAUCCCAGGCUGCGGGGUCUUAACUGUGAGUCGGUCACAGCUGUGCUGAGAACCUGGACAAGAUUAGAUUUGCCCACUGACCACAUUAAUGGGCUGUUGCUCAGCGACCAGACUGGUCACUGUGGUGAUGAGAACAGAAUUCUGGUUGUCUUGGUGUCCACAUCAAACAUUCUUUUGAUGGAGCCUCUUGUUCCUGUUGAACUGAUCAAUCACACUUUCAGGACACACACACACACACACACACACACUCCUUUUGUUUAAUCUCACUUGCUUUGUACUCAACUUUAGUUGAACUAUACACUCCCUCCACCUCACACACACGCACACACACACACACACACACACAACCACUUUUAUAUCUGCAACUGAGGCAGAUGUUUUUGUUUGCUUUUGUUUUAGUGUAUUUUUCUUCACCUGUGUUGUUCUAAUGAUGAGCCAGGAAUAACAUGAUUAUGGGUGUUAGGCCACAGGAGAUUUAAUCAACACACACACGGUUAGAUUUAUGAUUUUGUUUUUUUCACACACACUUAAUCAACACACUCCCUCCCACUCCCUUCUAAUGAGUGAUGUGCUGAUUAGAGCCUACCUAGCCCUCCUGUUACUGAACGAAGGGGAUUGGUUGAGCUACCAUCCAAUGGGAGCCUGGCUCUCACCUGCUCCCUAGCGCACUACAGUCUUAGGCCCGGCACAGAGACACAAGCCCAGCCUGAGACAUAGACACACGCCCAGAUGCACUCUGGGAAACAAAGGUUAAAGCCAGCCUGAGACAUAGACACACGCCCAGAUGCACUCUGGGAAACGAAGGUUGAAGCCAGCUCGUAGAUUUGAUGUGAGAUCCUGGUCACGUUAUCGUGUGUAUGACUGGGCUACUAAUCAGUGGAACUCUGGACCGGUGACCCUUGACCCCAGGAGAGCUGGAGGGCAUCUCAGCGUGACCUUACAGCUUGGUGCCACUCGACCCGACAGCAGCGCUGGGAUGUGGUCAGGCCCGGACUUGGCCCAGAGUUAGAUGAUCAUCGUUUAUGGUCGAUCAUCUGGGUUUAGUUAGAUGUUCCCUUGAUCAGUGGAGCUCUGGACUCCGUGACCUUUGACCCCUUGAGACCUGCUGCGGCGGAGUGUUUCCGUCUCCUUAAACGCCGUUGUGCUUUUAUCAAGAGCCCAGUGCCAUUAGAUGCUUUAGUAAACAUAUCUACUGAGUCUCCAGGUUAAGAACCUCGCCCAGGUGCCUGCCGAUUCUGGCCUGAAAUACAGCUGGUUCCGGCCCAUAGCCCGGGCCCAAACCCUAUUUCCCAGGCUGCAGAGCCAACUUUUCCCUGAGCCCAACCAAUCAUGCUUUUCCCAUUAUUUAUGCUGCAGAGUGCCCCACUCUGUGUGUGUGUGUGUGUGUGUGUGUGUGUGUGGAUUUGGAAGCAUCGUCUGACAAUAUCUCCAGUGAUUGAUCCUUCCCUAGAUCCGGGAAGGGAAGGGCUUCUGCAGUCCAGUUUGGCUUGCAGUAGGUCCCACCAGUGUGGAGGUUCUUUCUAGUCGAUUAAAAGAAAAGGAGCCUUUGUGUUGGGUCUAAGAUUUGGAGACUUCUCUGUCUCCAUUAGAUCCAUAUCAGCAUUUCACUCUUUGUGCAGUAGGGGGCAUCAGUGUGCCCUUGCAUAACACACACACACACACACGCAAAACAGCAUUUUCAAAAAUCAGCGUUUAUUGUAUACAACGUUAAAGUGUGCAGUCUCGUGUUAGAGCCAUCUUCAGAAUCGUCCAUCUGGACAGCUGUGAGGACCAUGACGUGAGCGUACCUGUAGGGCCCAGCCUUCAGGGUCCGAUUAGCGAAGCCCAGUAGCUGCUAACUGACCCGUGUGUGUGUUAUGAUCAGUUGUGUUAAAGGGUUCAAAGUGCUGUGGUGUUGUGUGUGUGUGUGUGUGUGUCAUGUUGCUGUUUCUUCAUAGCUUCUGUUCCACUAAAAGUGCCUGUUUUGUGUGCCAGGUAGUCUGAUUGAUUGUUUACUUUUUUGUUUGUUUUGUUUGUUCCUGUUUUUGUUUUCAUGGUGUCUGGUUGUGGCCAUCAGGGUUGGUGAGGUUCAUCAUGCUGUCUCCUGUAUGAGUCAGCAUUCUUAAAGGCAAAAUGCGUCAGGUGAUGUGCGUUUUCUCUGUGAAGAGAGAGCUUUUUGAAAACGAGUUGAGGACCUUUCUGUGUAGAGGGGAACCCUGUCAGGCUACUGCUGAUUGGUUCGCUGUCUCCGCAGCCCAGCGCUGAUUGGUUCUGGACAGGGUGGAAGUGUUGAUGGUUUACACCUUUGGGGAUCAGGUGUGAAAAUGGAACCACAUCCUUCACAGAGACAGGCGGAAAUGAAAUACUUAUGGAAUCAAUAAAUUUUUCUAUGUAUCAAA